UAGAGCUUAGGGUUUUCAACUCCCGCCGCGAACAGGAUUUUUACAAAUUUUGCCUUCUGGCAGCUACUGCUGUUGAGGCCCCCCCCCCCCUUUUUCUGUAUAUGAUAUAUACUUGUUUCUUGUCGGUUCUUUCUAGCGCUAAACAUUACUACAACUUAUAAGAAGAAAUUCUUAUUUGAUUUUUGCCAAGUUUGAAGCUUAUCAAUAUUUUUGUCAGUAGUCUUCAAUCUCAUCUCAUCUGGUUAAAUUGAAAAUUUUGUCUGUUGAUUUAGUUCUACGCAAUCAGGUUACAAAAUUUUCGAUUUUCUUUGACAGUCCGUUGGUGCUUAUAUUGACUUAAUUUUUGUUAGGUUUUAUUGCACUUGUUCGUCAAUUAUAAUUGAAUUGCGUUCGAUUUCGAGACUUCCAUUUUCCCAAUAUGAGUUUUCCGGCCCCCGAUCCUGUCCCUCCUUUUCGUCCAUUUUCUGGAGCAAGUGAUGCCAUUGCCAUUGGUGUGUGGCCCACGUUUCAGAACAAUGAACAAUUUGAUCCACAUUCACAGUUUGAACGGCAGCCUCCUUUCAAAAGACUCAGAAACUCUGAGGAUAACCAAUCCAUGAAUUCUAGGACGCCCCCACAAAGCAUUUCUGUAAAUAAAGGAAUAUCCAACAUUUUCUUCAAGACCAGAAUGUGUGCUAAAUUUAGGAAUGGGACUUGUCGCAAUGGUGAAAACUGCAACUUUGCUCAUGGCUUGGAUGAUUUGAGGCAGCCUCCAACCAAUUGGCAAGAUCUUGUUGGUGGACGAGAUGAGGAUAGGCCACCACAGCCACCGUGCAACUGGGAAGAUGAUAUGAAGAUAAUUCAUAAGAUGAAAUUGUGCAAGAAAUACUAUAAUGGAGAGGAGUGUCCUUAUGGUGAUAGGUGUAAUUUUCUCCAUGAAGUGCCGUCUAAGUUCAGGGAUGAUUCAGGAAGAUUUAGGGAAAGCUCUGCAAUAAGCAUUGGCACUACAGGCCAACCGGUGGUGCAUGGAGGUGGUUUUAGUCAUAGUGAUGGUAUUUGGUCUAUGGACAGCGCUGGCCCAGAUUCCUUUCAAGUAAAUACUAAGCCUGUGUAUUGGAAAACAAGGUUAUGUAUAAAAUGGGAGACAACAGGAACGUGCAGUUUUGGUGAGAAAUGUCACUUCGCUCAUGGGCAAGCAGAGUUACAGUUUCCGGGUGGAGGAAUUGAAGUGGAGGAAGGGAAUUCAAGCUCCAUGUGGACUAAACCUCAGUCCAUUCUUCCUGUUAUUGAUGCAUCUGGUAGUAUGAUGGUUGGUGCCCCUGCUUUUACCGAAGAAGGGCAAGGGAAGAAGUGCUUGUUCAAGUGGAAAGGAGCUAAGAAAAUCAAUCGGAUUUAUGCGGACUGGCUGGAUGAUCUGCCGUCAGUGCAGAGUUUGCCAAGCAGAAUUGAGAGCUGAGUUUGUGUAGGAAGUCAUGAGGUGCAGUGAACUUCAGCUGCAACAUGUCAAAAGUUUCGGAUCACAAUGCAUACAAAGAAAGACCUUACCUGAAUUUGUCUAUUUCAUUUACUGCCAUUCGUCAACUGAAUUUGUAGAAUCCUCAAGGCAUAAUAGGACAUGAUCCUCCAACUUUGGUUUGGGAAUUGAAUGACCAGUCAUGAAAGUUUGGAAGGAAUCUAAAUUAUUGUCAUCCUGACCAACUUGGUUCUGUUACUGCAUUACUCUCCAGUCUCCCCUAUUUAAAAAGCUGAUAUGUGUAAAAACAGGAAUUAAUGAGACCCUAAAUCCAUUUAUGCACAUAAAGACGAACAUUUGAUUGAUACCUUGGCCCUAAUCAUUUUAAUUAUCAUUUGCUGACAAAUAUGACAAGAAGUGCUGGCACCCAUGACAGCUUUGGCAGUACUAGAUAGAAAAUGUUCCCCUAACACUAACAGUAACAGCAGCUCUUCAACAAGAAAAGAAAAGAAAUGCUGUCAAAUUUAUAGGCCAUUAAACUUGUCAUUUCAUGACUCUGAAUUACUCGACUAUUUAUCCAACAAAUGAAGCAGAAUAUAGUGAAAUGGGUGGUAAAUUCCCUUCAACCAAAGAUGAUUUUUCUGUACCAAAACAAG